rnacentral:rRNA from 1 species
AGCGAACGCUGGCGGCAGGCUUAACACAUGCAAGUCGAGCGCCCCGCAAGGGGAGCGGCAGACGGGUGAGUAACACGUGGGAACGUGCCUUUUGGUUCGGAACAACCCAGGGAAACUUGGGCUAAUACCGGAUAAGCCCUUACGGGGAAAGAUUUAUCGCCAAAAGAUCGGCCCGCGUCUGAUUAGCUAGUUGGUGGGGUAAUAGCCCACCAAGGCUACGAUCAGUAGCUGGUCUGAGAGGAUGAUCAGCCACAUUGGGACUGAGACACGGCCCAAACUCCUACGGGAGGCAGCAGUGGGGAAUAUUGGACAAUUGGGGCAACCCUGAUCCAGCCAUGCCGCGUGAGUGAUGAAGGCCUUAGGGUUGUAAAGCUCUUUUAGCAGGGAAGAUAAUGACGGUACCUGCAGAAAAAGCCCCGGCUAACUUCGUGCCAGCCGCCGCGGUAA